CCUACGGGUGGCAGCAGUGAGGAAUAUUGGUCAAUGGACGAAAGUCUGAACCAGCCAAGUAGCGUGCAGGAUGACUGCCCUAUGGGUUGUAAACUGCUUUUAUAAGGGAAUAACACGAGUCACGUGUGCCUUUUUGCAUGUACUGUAUGAAUAAGGAUCGGCUAACUCCGUGCCAGCAGCCGCGGUAAUACGGAGGGUCCGAGCGUUAUCCGGAUUUAUUGGGUUUAAAGGGAGCGUAGAUGGGUUGUUAAGUCAGUUGUGAAAGGUUGAGGCUCAACCGGGAAAUUGCAAGUGAUACUGGCAGUCUUGAGUACAGUUGAGGUAGGCGGAAUUCGUGGUGUAGCGGUGAAAUGCUUAGAUAUGACGAAGAACCCCGAUUGCGAAGGCAGCUUACUAAACUGUGACUGACAUUGAUGCUCGAAAGUGUGGGUAUCAAACAGGAUUAGAUACCCUUGUAGUC
rnacentral:rRNA from 1 species